rnacentral:rRNA from 1 species
CGGGAAUUUUGGGCAAUGGGCGAAAGCCUGACCCAGCAACGCCGCGUGAGGGAUGAAGUAUUUCGGUAUGUAAACCUCGAAAGAAUGGGAAGAAUAAAUGACGGUACCAUUUAUAAGCUCCGGCUAACUACGUGCCAGCAGCCGCGGUAAUACGCAGGGAGCAAGCGUUGUUCGGAUUUACUGGGCGUAAAGGGCCCGUAGGCGGCGCGGUAAGUCACUUGUGAAAUCUCUGAGCUUAACUCAGAACGGCCAAGUGAUACUGCUGUGCUAGAGUGCGGAAGAGGCAACCGGAAUUCUUGGUGUAGCGGUGAAAUGCGUAGAUAUCAAGAGGAACACCGGAGUCGAAGGCGGGUUGCUGGGCCGACACUGACGCUGAUGCGCGAAAGCCAGGGGAGCAAACG